rnacentral:rRNA from 1 species
UGCUCAGUAACACGUGGACAACCUACCCUUGGGUCCGGCAUAAUCCUGGGAAACUGGGAAUAAUUCCGGAUAGGUCACCGAUGCUGGAAUGCGCGGUGGCCGAAAGCUCCGGCGCCCGAGGAUGGGUCUGCGGCCUAUCAGGGUUGUAGUGGGUGUAACGUACCUACUAGCCUACGACGGGUACGGGUUGUGAGAGCAAGAGCCCGGAGAUGGAUUCUGAGACACGAAUCCAGGCCCUACGGGGUGCAGCAGGCGCGAAAACUUUACAAUGCGGGAAACCGUGAUAAGGGGAUCUCGAGUGCCAGCAUAUAAUGUUGGCUGUCCAGAUGCCUAAAAAGCAUCUGUUAGCAAGGGCCGGGCAAGACCGGUGCCAGCCGCCGCGGUAACACCGGCGGCCCGAGUGGUAACCGCUAUUAUUGGGUCUAAAGGGUCUGUAGCCGGCCAGGUAAGUCCCUUGGGAAAUCUGGCAGCUCAACUGUCAGGCUGCUAGGGGAUACUGUUUGGCUUGGGACCGGGAGAGGUGAGAGGUACCUUGGGGGUAGGGGUGAAAUCUUGUGAUCCUCGAGGGACCACCAGUGGCGAAGGCGUCUCACCAGAACGGGUCCGACGGUAAGGGACGAAAGCUAGGGGCACGAACCGGAUUAGAUACCCGGGUAGUCCUAGCCGUAAACGAUGCUCGCUAGGUGUCAGUCACGGUGCGACCGUGAUUGGUGCCGUAGGGAAGCCGUGAAGCGAGCCACCUGGGAAGUAUGGCCGCAAGGCUGAAACUUAAAGGAAUUGGCGGGGGAGCA